rnacentral:lncRNA from 1 species
AUGUUUUCAAGGGCAAGGAACAUUUCAAUGGAUAAAUUGUGGUAUAUGAAUGUAACAGACUCUUAUUGCACCAUAAGAAAUGAUGAAAGGGACAGCUUUCCAGGAAACUACGAAGACCUCUAUGAACUCAUGCAGAGUGAAGUAAGCAGAAGCUGGACAAUUUAUGGAUUAAAAUCAAGUUCCCAAGCUGCUCGUCAUUGCACAAAUAGUUGUGGCUAUUUCCUUGUCUACAAUGAACUUGAUCCAGAAUUACCUGCAUCAAAGCUUUAAAACCAUCAUCAUCAUCAUCAUCAUCAUCAUCAUCAAUAACAAUAUCAUACACUCUUGUUGAGCACCUAUUUACAGAGGAGACUUUGUGAUCUAUAUGUAAAUUGGUCCUUCAUUUGAAGCACACCUAUCCAUUUAUUUUAUGUUAGUUCACUUUAAAUUAACUGUCUGGAAAUUCUGUCAAGCCAUUGCAAAGCCUGGCAUAUAUGAACAAAGACAAAGCUAACUAACAAUCCAAUGGACUGCCUCAGGAUACAGUGAGGUUCCCAUCCCUGAAAGUCUCCAGACAAAGGUUUUCUCAUCACUUGCUGGAGUUCCGAUGUAGGCAUACAUAGAGCUGAAUGACUUCUGAAGUCCUUUCCAAUCCUGGGAUUCUGCUAUUUUGUAAAAAGGUGUCUUGGCAGAAAUAUUAUAAUAAAUGUUAAUGUUAACUUUUGUCUCGAUUUCA